rnacentral:pre_miRNA from 2 species
GGUUCCUGGCACCGUGAUUUGAUGCACAAAGAGAAACAAAAAUCACAUUGCCAGGGAUUUCCA